GUCAGUGGGCUCCUCGAGGGCUGUCGGGGCUUCCUUGUGGCGUCUGCACCCGGGGCGUUCUCCCGCCGGUCGCUGCUCCGCCUACGUCCAGGCUCCUCCCGGCUGCCUGAGUUGCGCAAUCCGUAGCCGGGGAAGCGCUACGUGGAGACCGCGCUAAGUGGAAGCCGAGCUCUGGAGCUGGGGAACAGGAGGGCGGACCUUGAAUAGAUGCUGGACAUUCCUCAUCAGAAACCUGAGGAGGAUACUAAAAAGACAGCCACAAUUUUCCUUCUGCUUGCUGCCAAAGUUCUUGAGGCCAGCUGUUGGGAUUGAUCACUGGACCCAUAUAAAGCAAUCACAAUAGUUGGAAGUUUUUCAAACUGCAAAUCAUGAGCCAUUAAAAGGUCAUAAUAUGAAUUCAGUGGAACACGGCCAACCUUAAAACAGAGACAUAGAAUAUAUAGAAAUGUCAGCAUUAAACACAAGGUUCUACCCCACCCUCAGUAGCAGCUCCAAAUCUCCACCGGCCAACUCAUCCCCCACCUGUCACUUUGGAUCCCACCUCAAAGACAAGGCUCAUCAGCAUGAACUCAGUCCCCACCUACAUCUUCCACCUAUGGAUGCACAUGGAGAUCACGUUCCUCUCCUCUUCUCUGCCUAGGAGGAAAGAGUCCCUGUCUGUCUGCAAAGCUCACUGCUCUCCUAUGGCCUGACACCCACUAUGAAUCUGCCUGCCAGUUACCCUUUGCUAUCAUGGCUCCUUCCCUCAGUAUAAUAAACACGUCCAACUCGCUCGUAUUCCAAGAAAACCUCUUCCCUCAAGCCUGCCUCUGGACCCAUCUUCCCCACCCUUGGGGCUUGCUUUCACCACCACACAUCUUAACAGUCUACCCACUUGUCAAAGCCACACAUCUCCACUGCCGUCACCUCCGGUUCUGGCUUCUGCGUCUCCUACCCCGUGGCUGGUGGCCACUGAUGCCAAAUGUUCAGACCCACUGGAUCUCCCCAUCCGUUUCCUAUUCACAUCUGAGCAAGACGGCAGGAGGAUGGCCGAAGUGACCUCUCGAGGGGGGACUGCCGGUUCAGUCUUCUGAUGUUUUUUUCAGAGAGCCGAGACUUUCAGACAAAGACAUUUUUCAUCUACCAGGCUGCAUAUUUUUACUUAGAUAUUUAAAAAAGCAAUCUCAAGCUUUCCGAAAGAAAAUGUAACAUAGAUGCCAAAUCAGAUGAGAACUAACACUUGGUAUCAACAGGAAUACAUUUGAAUUUAAAAAGGCUAGCUGCAUCUGACAGCAGUGUGUCUCAGCUAAAGUCUAAGCUGGAGUGGGGGGGUGGGGAAGAGAAGA